CCGAAUCGGUUUUAAAACAGAAACAAAAAGCAGUAUACAAUUUUGAAAGGAAGCAACUCAAGGAUCAUCUUUUGUCAUCAACGACACAAACCAGAAGAGCAGUGCUGUUAAAAAACGACUCCACAUGCUGCUGGAAUGUAUGGAAAAGGCCGCCCUGCCGUCAGGAAGACGGGCCACGAGGCCCUGCCUGAGGCUCAGAGCAGGUGACAUCCCUGCCAGCCCUGGGAGUCUGAAGGAGAAGUCGACUCUUGGCCCGGGAGAUUUGCAUGCUACACAUCUAUUUUUCCUGUGGGUCUAUCUCCCUUUGACGCCACGAAUGUCCCGCAUCCAGCCACGUGUCAGAGGUGGCUGUUUAAUGCCAGCCAAAGAAAACAAGCUUCCCACUGCCCUGCGCUAAAGCUCUGUGACCUGAGGUGACUCACAGUAACUUCUCCGUGCCUCGGUGCCUUCACCUGUGAAAAGGAAUGGCCCCUGGCUCUGCAGGGCCCUCAGGUCUGAGUCGAGUGCGCUCUCACCCCAGAGAUGCUGAACCUUUGGGCAGCAUUCCUUCCUUGGCAGGCAGGAAUCAAGCACGCAGGGGAGGGGGCUGUCUGACUGC